GGGGAAUAUUGGACAAUGGGGGAAACCCUGAUCCAGCGACGCCGCGUGUGUGAAGAAGGCCUGCGGGUUGUAAAGCACUUUUAGUGGGGACGAAAAGUUUCGGGUUAACAACCCGGGAUCUUGACUUAACCCAAAGAAAAAGCACCGGCUAACUCUGUGCCAGCAGCCGCGGUAAUACAGAGGGUGCGAGCGUUAAUCGGAAUUACUGGGCGUAAAGCGCGCGUAGGCGGUCUUGUAAGUCGGGUGUGAAAGCCCCGGGCUCAACCUGGGAACUGCAUUCGAGACUGCAGGACUGGAGUAUUGGAGAGGGCAGCGGAAUUUCCGGUGUAGCGGUGAAAUGCGUAGAUAUCGGAAGGAACAUCAGUGGCGAAAGCGGCUGCCUGGCCAAAUACUGACGCUCAUGUGCGAAAGCGUGGGGAGCAAA
rnacentral:rRNA from 1 species